CCCUUUUUGUGGAUGGGUGUUAGCCAAGAGACCUUCCACAGUGAUGGAAAGGUUCCUGUGCGCAGAGAUUCGUUAAAAAUCUUAGUUAAAACAGGAGCUACCGAUACGGCACAACGCUUGAGAAUUGUCGCUGGGAUACCAUCUGGCCCCUCGGAGUAUGACGACUUUAGACGCUCGAUUUUUUGGGUAACCAGGGUCUCGGUGACGAUAGGUAGCGUGACAUGAAUUGCAUCUGCCGGAGUGUUCACGAGCGCGGAAGCAACAGCCUCCGGAGGUGUGAUGUUAGAGAUGAAGCUAUCCUCGAAACGCGUGGCGAACAGUUCACAAAUAUCUAAUGGCGAGUGUGCACAAUUAUCCUUAUACCGAAUAGUCCCGGGGAGGCCAGUUGACUUGCGCAUGUUGUCGGCAAAGCUCCAAAAGCGGCGAGGGUACUUUCGCAAGCUUCGUUCAGUCUGGCGUAUAUAUCGACGAUAGCAGACUCUAUUAUAACGUCGAUAAAGUGCAUGAGCACCAUUGUAGUAAAGCCGACACGGUGUGGAUCGAUUAGCGCGUAAAUUGUCAUAAGCGGCUCGCUUUGCUUUUUUUAGGGCAUGUAAUGUGCGGUCACCCCACGGCGGUCCGCGAUGGGGCUUUUUAAUAGGAGCACAUUCACGCAAUGCGGCCCGCAUAAACUCUGAGAAAUCGUUCGUGGCAUGGUCAAUGGAUGUAUAGUUUGAGCAUUCAAAGGAUUGGUUGAAGGAGCAGAUCAGUCUCUUGAGUUUAGUAAGGUCAGCACGUGCGUAAUUGAGCUUUAUUUCCGUAACAGUGGUAGCGUGAUUCAUAGACGAUGCUGUGAUUUCCAAAUCAAAUUCGAGCGGUGGGUGAUAGCAGUCUAUUGGCAGCAGCGGGUGCUCGCUGACGCGUAUGAGCGAAGAAGUUGCUGCACUUGACCAAUUCCCGUAUGCAAGGUCUAAGAUGCGCCCCAUAGAGUUAGUGUUGUUAUUAAGUUGGUAAAGCGCAUUCUGGUGCAGUCCAUCGACGAAUUGGGCGCUACGAACUGAACUAGUAUGAGGUUCAAAAAACACAAAAGGGGUUUCAUGAUUCGAUUGCGCAGGCGACCAGGAAAGAGCGGGUUGGUUAAAGUCUCCCACGAGCACGAAUCUGUCGUUUGGACCUAGUGUGUCGCAAAUGCUGUUGACGGUGUCCAGUAAUGCAUUUAUUUUUCCUUCGUCCGUGCUAUGGUUGGGAGGAAGGUAGGCAGCAGCAAUGAAUAAUCGGUACGUCGGGAGCUGAAUGCAGAUGCAAGCGAUUUCAAGUGUUUGCGCAAGCACUGGAAGCGCAUGAGAGCGGAGAGCGGAACUCACCGCAAUUAGUACUCCACCGCCUCGAGAUAGAGAGCUGUUUGCGGCAUUUCUAUCGCAACGAUAGACACAGUGCGCAUCGCCAAAUAGGAGAGCUGUGGGAAGGCUGGGAUCGAGCCAAGUCUCAGUGAGUACCACAACAUCAUAGUCCGCUUCUAACACAGUUAAACGGAACUCAUCAGCUUUGGAUCGUAAACCUCGCACAUUCUGAUAGUAUACAAUUAUAGACGUGGAACGGACAUUGAGUGGUAUGCGUGUGUAAGUUGGUGCAAGGUCAUCGGUGAGAGAUCGUGUCGUUGACGUGUUGUUAUUUCGUGUAAACAAAUGACUAGUCAGAUUCAGUGGCACAGUGCCUUUUGAGGAAACAGUUGUGUGAUUAUUACUUAAGAAAAAAGUGUUGAAUAGUAGUUUGGUGCAUUUUAACGGUGUUUGGUGUGGCUGUAGUUGUUUUUGGUGGAGCAGGCGAUAUUAAGGUACAAUUCAUAUCGGGUGAUAAUUGUACAGGGUGCAUCGGGCUAUGUCGAACAGGUAUAGGUGUGUUUGUGUUGGUAAGAUCAGGACGAUGGUGAGACGGCCUUUGCGGGAGUGAGAUAAACUCACGCACACCGAGCCCGACCGGCCAAGAUCCUGCGCAAACUAAAAGCGAUGACGUCCGUGGUGUCCAACUGUGAUUUUACCAUCGACACUACCUGGUCAACAGUGACGGUUUUGGCUAACCUAGAUAGAUGUAGCCACAUAUAGUUUGUUCUUGGUAGUUGUGACACGGUUGGGAUCGACGUGGUGGUGGUAUCGGUUCCUGUUAUUAUUGGUGGUAGUGAAGGGCGAUUUCUUUGGUGAGUAUUGUCGGUGUCUGUAUUUACAGGGUAUAGUGAAGCAUUGUCAACAACAAUGGCUUCCGUGGAUGCAACAACGUCACGGAACAACCUUCUACGCUUUCCACUCGGGAGGGCAUCUGGGGGCGGUACGUUGAAGUGUUCGCUAGGAGCUUGGUGAGCCGCGGCAAAACUGGCAAAGCCCUCACGGAUUUCGUGCAUCACAGGCGGGACUAAAGCAGCUUUCAUCACCUCGACAGCGGCAGUAAGAGCCGCCUGGAAGCCGACCUGCAUACCCGUUGUUUUGACUGCUUUACUAUGUGGGUUGCCAAGAGCAUUCGAACACCCUACACAGCUCCAAUGAAGAGAUGCCGUCCGUUUUACCUCUUCGAUCACAGUGAAAGUUGCCGUUGCAGAUAGAUGCCACAGGACUCAGGAACAAACGCAGGAAAUACAGCAAAGUCAGGAAUGGUUGUGACGAACGAUUGAAGGCAGGACUACCAGGGACAGCUUAAGUCACAGCUAAGCGGCAGUUUGACGAAAAUAAGGCCGAAACGACAAAAUAAUUCACGGAUUUACGCGGAGCACAGUGAGAAAACACACUCUGUCGUCAGCUGUCAACUG